UACGAAGGGGGCUAGCGUUGCUCGGAAUCACUGGGCGUAAAGGGUGCGUAGGCGGGUCUUUUAAGUCAGGGGUGAAAUCCUGGAGCUCAACUCCAGAACUGCCUUUGAUACUGAAGAUCUUGAGUCCGGGAGAGGUGAGUGGAACUGCGAGUGUAGAGGUGAAAUUCGUAGAUAUUCGCAAGAACACCAGUGGCGAAGGCGGCUCACUGGCCCGAUACUGACGCUGAGGUGCGAAAGCGUGGGGGAGCAAACAGG
rnacentral:rRNA from 1 species